UAUAGAGAGAAAGUCAUUUGGGAGAAAGAAAGAAAACUAGGGUUUUAGAGGGAAGGAGGAGGCCAAAGAGGGAUUCCAUUCAAGAGCUAUUUUCUCCAAAUUUCUCCAAGAAUCCAUUAGAGCUGCACUCAAUCCAAGGUGAUUCGCAUUGAGAGGAGGUUAGCCGAGUUGGUUUUGAGUCGUUGUCGCUCUGAUACGUAGCACUCGGGGGGGACGAACGAGUUGAUUUACUUGCUUUUGGAUUUUUAUGUUUUGGCAUACACUUGAGUUAUUUGUUUGAGAUUGUCGCUUUAAAGUGCUUUAAUUGUUGAAUUAAGAUGCUAUGAAAUCUUGAACUAAUUGUUGAGUUUCCGUUGCACUUCUAUGGAAGUUAA